CUGAUUGUAAUCUUUCAGUUUAGCACAGAUCUUGAAGAUCAGCUUGGCUUUGGCCAUAUUUAUAACGUACACGAUCCAGUACUACGUUGCUAUUGACAUUACGUGGACACAGUACCUGAGCCCAAAAUUCGAAGGGAAACCGAGAAAGGAAGUUUGGGAGUACGUAACGAGGACUGUACUCGUUUUACUUACAUUUAUACUGGCUGUGACCGUCCCAGCGUUGGACUUAUUCAUCUCCUUAUUUGGAGCGCUCUGUCUGUCUGCACUGGGUAUAACCAUACCUGCGGCUAUUGAGACGUCAACCUACUGGUACACCAGGGACGGAUUUAGCUUUUAUUUUAUGGUCGUUAAGAACGCGGCGUUAAUAGUCUUUAGUCUUCUGGGAUUGGUUGCCGGUACCUACAUAAGUUUGCGCGACAUUAUCGUCGAAUUUUCAUAAUCUUAGAUUGUAACUCAUAAGUGAAUCAGUAUUAUCAAUCUGUAAAUAGUGCUUUGUUAUCAAUAAACGAUGUUUUCGACA